UGAGACUAAUACAAACAUGCUAAAUAAGCAGCCAUGAAGGAAGAAAAAAAUUACUAUCCUUGUUCGACGCUUUCUACUCUUUCUCUCUCCCCACUCAUCCUACUCUCUCUAUCUUCACCAUGACCAAUCGUUUGAAUCUAAGAGAUCAAAGAGAUUUCAACACUGCAUUUCUCGACCGCAGGGAGACUACGAACCGGCUUGUGGAGUUGUGGUUUAAGAAGUCAUCGACUAUUGUAACUCAAUCUUCGUGCUUCAUCCCGAGGCCAUGGAGAAUCUCCAACAACAACACAAUUAGUAUGGAGGCUUUCUUGCUUAAAUCUCUUGUAGACAUACUAACCAGCAGCUUGAGGUCAUUCUCGUCAAAAUGAAAGGUUUGUGGAGAAAAAUUUGAGCAACGAUGGGUAUAGAAGGAUGUUAUUCACAUAGAUAUUUCAAAUAUGACUUGCAUGCAGUGCAGCCAUGAGGAAAUUGAUGUAGAUAGGAAAUUGAUGUAGAUAGGAACUUGUUAGGAAUUUAAUUUGCAUUUAGUUUGUUUCAAACAGUACUUUGGUCAAUAAUAUAUAAUUUUGG